UACGAAGGGGGCUAGCGUUGCUCGGAAUCACUGGGCGUAAAGCGCACGUAGGCGGAUCUUUAAGUCAGGGGUGAAAUCCUGGAGCUCAACUCCAGAACUGCCUUUGAUACUGGGGAUCUCGAGUCCGGGAGAGGAGACUGGAAUUUACGGUGUAGCGGUGAAAUGCGUAGAUAUCGUAAGGAAGACCAGUGGCGAAGGCGGGUCUCUGGACAGUUCCUGACGCUGAGGCACGAAGGUCAGGGGAGCAAACGGG
rnacentral:rRNA from 1 species